UUAGUUUAAGAAUCGCACUGGGACAUCGGAAAAUAACUGGGCAAUGCACAGCCAUUAGGAAGACUUUAAGAAAAAAAAAAACGACAGCUACUGCAAAACAUCAAAGUUACAAGCGAUUAUUCCGACUGUUGAAAUUUCAACACCCGACCCCCAAGGAUCUAAGCAUGAUUUAAGCAGUAGGAGAGGCCUGAAAACCUGCAUAUCUAGCUCACAAUACAUUCAUAAGAAGAAAAAUAGAUAACUUUAGAUCUGCCAUAUCACUACUAAACAAAGAACGAACCUUCCCUUUA